rnacentral:rRNA from 1 species
UAGGUAAUCUUCGGCAAUGGGGGGAACCCUGACCGAGCAACGCCGCGUGAGUGAAGAAGGUUUUCGGAUCGUAAAGCUCUGUUGUUAAGGAAGAACGAGUGUGAGAAUGGAAAGUUCAUGCUGUGACGGUACUUAACCAGAAAGGGACGGCUAACUACGUGCCAGCAGCCGCGGUAAUACGUAGGUCCCGAGCGUUGUCCGGAUUUAUUGGGCGUAAAGCGAGCGCAGGCGGUUAGAAAAGUCUGAAGUGAAAGGCAGUGGCUCAACCAUUGUAGGCUUUGGAAACUGUUUAACUUGAGUGCAGAAGGGGAGAGUGGAAUUCCAUGUGUAACGGUGAAAUGCGUAGAUAUAUGGAGGAACACCGGUGGCGAAAGCGGCUCUCUGGUCUGUAACUGACGCUGAGGCUCGAAAGCGUGGGGAGCGAACAGG